UAUACUUGUUCUCGAGAUCAAAGACGUACUAACAAAUGAGGUGAAAUUAAGAACAAAAAGGAUUCACAAAAUCUAACUACUCACCAAAUGGUUGUGUACACACAUUUAGAUCGAAGACAUGAACAUCAAAAUAUAUAAAUACUAUUUAAAUACUGUUUAUACAUCCCAAAAUAUUUAAGGUACUUGAAUCUUACAAACCCAAAACUCACAGAUCAACAAGACAUAUUCACACUAGAAAUUGUAAUAAUUACAAAUUUUGAAUUUUGGAUACCUAACAAGAGUUCACGAACCGAAAGAGCUCCGUCCACAGUCGUAGAAACUGGUGGUGGUUGCUGCAUAUCCGCCACUCAUAGCCAUCUUCCGCUGCUCAACGAUUGCUUUUUUAGGAAAUCGAUGACUAAGUCGGACUAAAUCUCUAUAAAUCUCGAGAUAUUACAAUAAAUAAGACGACCAGAAAACAUAAAGGAGAAAUAUAAGGUUGGAGGAAGAAGAAGAAGAUUAAAUAAGAAAGAAGGUUGGAGUUAUGUUUUCGAUUUCAUCAAGCAAAUUAAUUCUUUAGUGAUGAGCUUCAAUCGCGUUUUUUCUUUGAUUUCAGUACUUAUCUCGUUGUGAGAUGUAAUUUGGGUUUCAAAUCUGACAAAAGACAAAGAAAAGAAAGUGAGAGAAAGAAAAUAAAAUUGCAGCCAAGAAAAUAAUAGCAAAAGGGUAAUUCUGGGUUUUUCAUAUGUGGAAAGAUGAAAAUGUGCAUUGAAAGAAGAGAAAAGUGUGCCGGUAGUUAUAACUGUCUUAGAAUGAUAUUUAAAGAUGAAAAGUGACUAUGUAUGUAAAUCUUUCGAUAUCUUAUACAUUUAUGAUUUCUAAAUGAGUGCGCUGAUAACCAAACUACACGCAGUAAAUAAUAAAGUAACCAACCUACAUUUAAUAGUUGUUCUGAACUUUCACAUAUUCUUAAAAAUAUACCACUAAAUUCACUUGAUAUUUUUUUAAAGCACAUCACUUGAUUACCUAUAGAUACUAUAUAUAAUGUAAUAGUCAAAACUUAUUAUUUUGAGACAUUAUUAGAUAAAUAAAAACAUAUUUAAUAAAAAUGAUCCAAAUAAAAAUUAUACAUAAAAUAGGUCAUGACCUAUAUGUUUUAAUAAAUAAAAUGUUUAUAACUGAAUAUGUACUUUCUAAUAUAUCUGAUUCUCACCAUAUAUAAUCAAAAUAUUUGAAAGAUUAUUACAUUUGAGGGAACGGUUUCGCCAUAAAGGAAAUAUUAGAUAUUAUCAAUUAUAUUAUUUUUUUUAUCAAAUAUAUUAAUUAUAUAUCUUUAUUGUAGUUAGGGGUAGGUAUUUCGGUUAUUUUCUAGGUUUGAUUCGGGUUCGGUUCGGAUUGGUUAGUUUAGUUUGGUUCAGUUCGGUUUGUGUUUGAUCGGUUUGGUUUGUACGAAUCAAAUUUGAAUAUUUGACCACUGUUUGUAAAGGUGAUUAAAUGAGUGCGUUGAUGACGAAAUUGAAUAUUGUUUGUAAAGGAAGGGAUGGAUACCCGCGCAUCUCCUCUUUUACUUUUUAUUAUUCAAACCUAAAAUUUUCUUUUUUGAAAAGUCGGGAAGAUAAGAAAAUUCCACGAUGCGAACCCCAUCAUCUGCCGAAAGCAAAAACAGAUAAUUUACGUGUUGCAAAAUUCGCCAAACUUUGAGCAAAUAAUUUUCUUGUCUAUUAUCAUCUUUUGUCUCUUCGUCCUGUUUCUGAACAAACACAAAUAAGAAGAAGAUGGAAAUGAAGUACGAUCGUGCCACCGAGGUAAAAGCCUUCGACAAAAUGGUAAGGAUUGACUCAAGCUUGAGCUUUCACUCCGAGUGAUGGGAUCAGGAGAACUCAACUUUGAGCGUUUAUGAAAAACUUUAAAGCUGAAUAUUUAUCAAAUGGUAAGGGUCUAGCGCUAAAGCUUCUGAUAAAAACUCAAAGAUAAUUUCCCCAUAACAUUCAAUUAUGCGUACAGUUUGUUUGAUAUUAUUGAUGAGUUUUGUAAGUUUUAUUAGUUUUAUGGAAGUCAUGUUUGAGUGUUCAAAACAGCUGAUGGGAUCAGAUAGCUCAACUUUGAGCUUUUACGAAAAGCUUUAAGGCAGAAUCCUUAUCAAAUGAAAGUCAUGUUGGAGUUAAAGCGAGUGAUGGGAUCAAGAGAACUCAAUUUUGGGCUUUUAUGAAAAGCUUUAAGGCUCAAAAUCCUUAUCAAAUGGUAAGAAUUAAGUGUAAAAGCUCAAAGAUCAUCCCCCCUCCCCAAUGACAUUCAAUUAUGCAUACAUUUUUUUGAUAUAACCUGAUGGGUUUUGUAAGUUUUAUUGGUUUGAGUGUUUUAAGAAAGUUAUUUUGGAGUAUUCAAUGCGAGUGAUGGGAUCAGAGAGCUCAAGUAUGAGCUUUUCUGAAAAACUUAGACUGAAUCUUUAUCACAUGGUAAGGAUUUAGCGCUAAAGCUUAUGAUAAAAGCUCUCCCCAUGACAUUCAAUCCGCGUACAGUUGUUUGAUAUUAUUGAUGAGUUUUGUGAGUUUUA